UGAGGAAUAUUGCACAAUGGGCGAAAGCCUGAUGCAGCGACGCCGCGUGGAGGAUGACGGUCUUCGGAUUGUAAACUCCUGUUAAGUGGGAAAAAAGAACCGUUGUUAAUAGCAGCGGGAGAUGAUGGUACCACUAGAGAAAGCACCGGCUAACUUCGUGCCAGCAGCCGCGGUAAUACGAGGGGUGCAAACGUUAUUCGGAAUCACUGGGCGUAAAGGGUCUGUAGACGGCGAAACAAGUCAGUUAUAAAAUCUCUUGGCUUAACCAAGAAACUGUAACCGAAACUGUUUUGCUUGAGGAUGGAAGAGAGAAGCGGAAUUCUCGGAGUAGCGGUAAAAUGCGUAGAUCUCGAGAGGAACACCGAUGGCGAAGGCAGCUUCUUGGUCCAUUUCUGACGUUGAGGGACGAAAGCGUGGGGAGCAAACAGG
rnacentral:rRNA from 1 species